AGAUGACUGAACCAUGUAACAGUUAACUUGGGACUUUCCUUAGCUGAAGGCUAGAAAACUGUAAAUAGGUAGAUUCCUGUCAGGCCUCUGAACCCAAGCCAGCCCGUAUACAUCCAGAUGGCCUGAAGCAAGUGAGGAAUCACAAACGAAGUGAAAAUGGCCGUUUCCUGCUUUAACAGAUAACAUUCCACCAUUGUGAUUUGUUCCUGCCCCACCUAAACUGAGUGAUUAACCUUGUGAAAUUCCUUCUCCUGGCUCAGAAGCUGCCCCACUGAGCACCUUGUGAACCCUGCCACUGCCCGUAAGAGAACAACCCCCUUUGACUGUAAUUUUCCACUACCCACCCAAAUCCUAUAAAGCAGCCCCACCCCUAUCUCCCUUCACUGACUCUCUUUUCAGACUCAGCCUGCCUGCACCCAGUUGAUUAAAAAGCUUUAUUGCUCACACGAAGCCUGUUUGGUGGUCUCUUCACACGGACGCGCAUGAAAUUUGGUGCCGAAACGUGACUCGCAUCAAGGGACCUCCCUUUGGGGACCUCCCUUGGGAGAUCAAUCCCCUGUCCUCCUGCUCUUUGCUCCCUGAGAACGAUCCACCUAUGACCACUGGUCCUCAGACCAACCAGCCCAAGGAACAUCUCACCAAUUUUAAACCGGACCACAGAUGUCUCAGCUAAAAGUCUUGUCUGGAUGAAUUGAGUGCUGGUUUGAGGGGAGAAGUCCUCAGCAGGAGGUGGCUGAUUAUAAUGGAGGUCCUUGACAGUGUUUGAAAUAGCAGCAGCAACCAGAAGUCCUAGGACAAGAAAAAAUGAAGAAUCCCAUCUGAAAACGUUUGGUUUGUAUGAGGUACUACAUUGUACUAACUCUGGGCAAGAACAGUGACUCUAGCAAUGCUGUGAAUAGUCAUCAACGAGGAUGUCUCUGCUUAGAAUUUUAUGCCUAACAUGCAAAAGAUAGUUUGGGCAAGCACACACUAAUCAAUAGGUUACUUUCAAAUUAUAAAGUCAUUGGUGAUCAGUAUUUACAUCUGAUCUGCUUUUAUAUUCUCAUGUGGUAAUGUAGAAAAACAGACAAAUUUAAAAUCAGGUCCUCUGAGUUCCACUCCAGGCACAACAUAGAUAAUAGAAUGAGAUUGUUUCCGUAAUGAAACAACACAAUAGCCUUCCUGAAUAAUUAUGGAUAUGCAGCUUUUUGCUAUAUACAUAUCAAUCUCCAAUAUAGAAACUCCAGAAAAGAGCUACCAUUUAAAAAUCCCAUUAAGUUAUUAGAUAAUCACGAUGUUGAUUAUAUGGAACGGAUAAUCAGACUGUUUAAAAUAACCAAUAAUUCCUAUCUGCCUCUCCAUAAAUUUAGGACCAAUGUUUGAUGAAACUCGACAUCAAUUAUGGAUGAAAACUCUUAAUAAAAUGGAAGUAGAUGUAAAAUUUCUUAAAUAUAUAAGUAUAUAUAUUUAUGAAGCCUAAUAUGUAUAGCAAAGUUAACAUGUUCAAACCUAAGCUCUUGAUCAUCUCCCAAGCUCUUUCUCUACUUAUAAUCAUCUCCAUCUAGGUUAAGGUGACUGCAUCCUUCCAGUUUUAAGAAAAUUAGAAUAAUUCUUGACACCCAGAAGUUCCUGUCAGUUCUACCUUCAAAUCAAUUCAGAAUCUGACUACAUUUUUCCACUUCUAGUGCUAAAAAUUUGGAACUAGUUAUCAAAGAGAAUGAGGCAGCUGUAUUAGCAAUAAUAUAGAAAGACCAAUAUGAUAUAUUAAGUGUCAUAAGUUGCAAAAUAAUUUUUAUCUUGUGCUACCAUUUUUGUUUCAUUAUUUCUUUUGUGUAUAGUAAUGUAUUAUAUUUAUACAUGUGUUUGUUUUGCUUGCAUAGAUAAUAGGUAAGAAAAUAUCUUUGAAAGACUGAUGGAGAAAUUGGUUGGGGUAAUGAGUUCUUUUGGAGCAAAGUGUAGGAGAGGAUUUUAUUUUGAUUAUAUAACUUCUGAUACCUUCUCUAUUUUACACCAAGUGAAUGUAUGACUAACUUUUAAAAAUAAAAUUUUAGAAGACUGUGAUUAUCCAAUAAAAUAUUUUGCUUAUUUUUCUCUCAGUGAUU
rnacentral:lncRNA from 1 species